rnacentral:rRNA from 1 species
CCCUUAGAUGUUCUGGGCCGCACGCGCGCUACACUGACGGAGGCAGCGAGCAUGUCCUUCGCCGAGAGGUGUGGGGAAUCUUGUGAGUCUCCGUCGUGCUGGGGAUAGAUGGUUGCAAUUGUCGAUCUUGAACGAGGAAUUCCUAGUAAGCGCGAGUCAUCAGCUCGCGCUGAUUACGUCCCUGCCCUUUGUACACACCGCCCGUCGCUACUACCGAUUGAAGAGUUAGGUGAAUUGUUUUGAUCGAUAAGAUUUGACUAUGGUCAACUCUCGUUGUGAAAUUCUGUGAAUCUGACUGUUUAGAGGAAGGAAAAGUCGUAACA